AGCUGUGACGCGGAAUUUACGUACAGGCACCCUCGAUCGGCGAGAACCGACGUGUAAACUGAUCAGAACAAAACCAAUAGAUUCAUCCAACGGACAGAAAUUGCAGCCACAGAUCGGGGUGCUAUAAUGCUAAAAGUGGUCACCCCAUAACCCUCGCAGGAGCAACCAAGAAGACGAGGCAGAGCAAAGCGCCAAAUCUAGGAUGUGAUGGUACUGAUGUGCAUGUCUUCUGGCGUGAUGCAUGUAAUAUUGGAAGAUCGAAGCUGUACGUGUCUUGUUGUUGCUUAUGCAUGGUUAUCGUAUCGAAACGUAGUCUAUAUACUGCCACGUUUUGUAGUUACAGUUUAGUAUAAUAUAUGUCAAUUAUUGUAUAGAGAGCAGUAUACAGCACUUAAUUUCAAUGAAGUUGAACAUACGGCCUACAAAAAUUUGGCUUUUACGAAGGAAUAAUUUGCUCAAGGCGGCGAUUCGAUCAUUGCUUUCAUCCAGGAGGCAGUACCUCUGUCCUUUCUACCGGAUACGUGUCACCUGCGUGUCUUCGCUAUGUGUGGAGCAAAUGGAUGGACUGUGCUGUCUUAUAUAUGUCCAUAUAUUAAUUACUGUACCACGUACGUACGCCUUCCUUUGUAGUAACCUGCGUGUCUUCGCGAUGUGCGGAGCAAAUGGUUGGACUUUUUUUUUGUUUUUGCUAAAAGCAUACUGCAUUCAUUAAUAAUAAUAGACAUUAUAAAUUAGUUUU